rnacentral:rRNA from 1 species
UACGGAGGGUGCGAGCGUUAAUCGGAAUUACUGGGCGUAAAGCGUGCGUAGGUGGUUCGUUGUGUCUGUGGUGAAAGCCCCGGGCUUAACCUGGGAAUGGCCAUGGAAACUGGCGAGCUGGAGUCUGGCAGAGGGGGGUGGAAUUCCGCGUGUAGCAGUGAAAUGCGUAGAGAUGCGGAGGAACACCGAUGGCGAAGGCAGCCCCCUGGGCUAAGACUGACGCUGAGGCACGAAAGCGUGGGGAGCAAACAGG